rnacentral:rRNA from 1 species
UACGUAGGGGGCAAGCGUUGUCCGGAUUUAUUGGGCGCAAAGCGCGUGUAGGCGGCUUGGCAAGUCCGCUGUGAAAACUCGAGGCUCAACCUCGAGAUGUCGGUGGAAACUGCCUGGCUAGAGUCCGGAAGAGGAGUGUGGAAUUCCUGGUGUAGCGGUGAAAUGCGCAGAUAUCAGGAAGAACACCUAUGGCGAAGGCAGCACUCUGGGACGGUACUGACGCUGAGACGCGAAAGCGUGGGGAGCGAACAGG